rnacentral:tRNA from 1 species
UGCAGUGUAGUGUAACGUAACAUGUAAGGCUCAUGAUCUUACGAUGGUGGUUCAAAUCCAUCCAUUGCAU